rnacentral:rRNA from 1 species
AAUAUUGGACAAUGUGCGAAAGCCUGAUCCAGCCACUCCGCGCUUGUGAAGAAGUUCUUCGGAUUGUAACGCACUCUAAGUUGGGUGGAAGGUCUCUUGGCUAAUACCCUGCAAUUUUGACGUUCUCAACAGAAUCAUCACCGGCUAACUUCGUGCCAGCAGCCGCGUUAAUACGAAGGGUGCAAGCGUUAAUCGGAAUUACUGGGCGUAAAGCGCGCGUAGGUGGUUCGUUAAGUUGGAAGUGAAAGCCCCGGGCUUAACCUGGGAAUUGCUUUCAAAACUGACGAGCUAGAGUACGGUAGAGGGUAGUGGAAUUUCCUGUGUAGCGGUGAAAUGCGUAGAUAUAGGAAGGAACACCAGUGGCGAAGGCGACCACCUGGGCUAAUACUGACACUGAGGUGCGAAAGCGUGGGGAGCAAACAGG